UACUAUAUGGAUAAACAUAAGAAGAACUUACAUAUAAUGAAUCAGUCACCAAUCUCUCCUGCCACAUUAAAAAAAACCCAACGUCCUGCUCUUACAUUGUAAAUAGGUUCAGAAACACAGACCUGAUCUUAUAUUUAUGAAGGGAUAUUGGAAGGAAUAUUUUAAAAUAGACACCUUUGGGAUCUCUGUAAGAUUUUGGGAUCCUCUGAAGGGAUUUUGGAGUUAGUAUUUGGAGGAUUCAAAGAUUAUUAUUAUUAUUAUUAUUAUUAUUACAUUUAUAUGCCGCUCUUCCUCCAAGGAGCCCAGAGCGGUGUACUACAUACUUAAGUUUCUCCUCACAACAACCCUGUGAAGUAGGUUAGGCUGAGAGAGAAGUGACUGGCCCAGAGUCACCCAGCUAGUCUCAUGGCUGAAUGGGGAUUUGAACUCAGGUCUCCCCGGUCCUAGUCCAGCACUCUAACCACUACUCCAUGCUGGCUAGACCAUGACCUAAAAGGCUACUGGCAAGAAAAGCUUGGAGUGGCUAUGAGACCGAGUAAAGCCCAUGCUAAAAAGUGCUCUGAGUGUCUUGGCUAGAGAAGUUUUUCCUGAGCUCGGUUACGCAAGUUCUGAGACUGCACAGGCUUCUCUGUUUUAAGGAUUAGGAAGAAUAUUGAGAUUUGUCCAGGGAUCUCAAUACCUUAAAUUAUGAUAUCUUCCUUCUGUUUUAUCUUUCUGAGCUAUAGCCGUGCCCAACACUGAAAAUAAUCUAUAUAUAUAAUUCUCCUGGGUGUGCCCAGGAAAAAUGCGUCCUGGCAGCCCAGCUGAUUGGCUGGGUUGCGGGGGCGCCUGAUUGGUCCUGGUGCACACCCAGGAGAAUUCGCUGGCUGGGCGGCUGCGGAGGCAAGGCGGCGGGCCUAGCGCAGUGGCUGGGCCCAGCAAGUGGCGGGCCCAGCGAGGCAGCGGCGGGCCCGGCCACGAGGCAGGGCGAGGCGGCGGGCCAGGCCGCAGCGGCGGGGCCCGGCGAGGCAGCGGGCCGCGGCGGCAGGCCCAGUGAGGUGGCAGCAGUGGGGGGCCCAGCCGCGAGGGCGGGGGCCUGACCCAGGACAACGGUGGCGAAGGUUUAAAGAACACAUAGCAGAUGCAAAAUACAUUAAUAAAGAGAGACAGUGGGCAGUGCAUAUGUUAAAACAACAGGAUGGAAUAACGAUGCCCAUAAAAGUAAAUGUGCUGGAUAUGGAGCAGUGCUUGUUGCGAAGAAACAUUAGAGAGGCGAUAUACAUAGAUAAUUAAAAUCAAGUGUAAAUGGUAAGGAAGAGCUUAAAGAGACUGUGAAGUAUAUUGGUGAUUAAUAAAGAAUGUGGAAUGAAAUUGAGAGAUAGAGACAAUGAUGUUGGUAAUUAAGGGGUGUGUGGUGAAAUGUAGAUAACACAGCUGUAUGUCUUUGAAUGGCUCCCUGCUUUCCUUUUCUCCCCUUCCUUACCUAUUUGCUAAUUAAGAAAUUGCUGCCCAGUUGUGUUGUAAUUAUAGGAGAAUAAUAUAAGAUUGUGAUCCACAGGAGGAGGAAGAAAUAACACUGAGGCUGACAUAUAGACGUCAAAAUAUUUGUUUUUACAAUGGACUGAUAUUUGUCUUUUUUUACGCAAUAAAUGAAGGUCCUGAAGGAGAAUUAGAGUUA